rnacentral:rRNA from 1 species
GCUUCAUUCAAAUAUCUGCCCUAUCAACUUUCGAUGGUAGGAUAGUGGCCUACCAUGGUUUAAACGGGUAACGGGGAAUAAGGGUUCGAUUCCGGAGAGGGAGCCUGAGAAACGGCUACCACAUCCAAGGAAGGCAGCAGGGGCGCAAAUUACCCAAUCCCGACCGGGGAGGUAGUGACAAUAAAUAACAAUAUAGGGCUCUUUUGGGUCUUAUAAUUGGAAUGAGUACAAUUUAAACCCCUUAACGAGGAACAAUUGGAGGGCAAGUCUGGUGCCAGCAGCCGCGGUAAUUCCAGCUCCAAUAGCGUAUAUUAAAGUUGUUGCAGUUAAAAAGCUCGUAGUUG